CUCCUAUAUUCUGUCAGAAGUGGGGGAAAUUGUUUGUGAAGUGAAGAUGAUCCCUAACCAAAUUGCAGGACGAGGCUGCCAGUGCCAGCGUUUGGUGAAAGUCGUGAGUAUCGACUCUCAACUCUAUCGCCGAUUGAAUCAUAAUUUGCAGGAAAGAAAAGUGAGCGUGGCGAAAGCGCCGCGACUGUCUGCCGUUCCCCCCACAGAGCUAAACCGUGAGCAGAAAUGGCAGAUGAUGCUCUCCAAGAGUAUGCGUCGCUAAUUGUCUGUUUAACCUGAUGGCGGGGUAAACGGUAAUUGACGCGUAGGCCGGAUAAGCGUGAGCGCAUCCGGCAUCAAUUACUG
rnacentral:misc_RNA from 1 species